rnacentral:rRNA from 1 species
UACGUAGGGUGCGAGCGUUGUCCGGAAUUACUGGGCGUAAAGAGCUCGUAGGUGGUUUGUCGCGUUGUUCGUGAAAACCGGGGGCUUAACCCUCGGCGUGCGGGCGAUACGGGCAGACUUGAGUACUGCAGGGGAGACUGGAAUUCCUGGUGUAGCGGUGGAAUGCGCAGAUAUCAGGAGGAACACCGGUGGCGAAGGCGGAUCUCUGGGCCGUAACUGACGCUGAGGAGCGAAAGCAUGGGGAGCGAACAGG